rnacentral:lncRNA from 1 species
UGUUAUACCUGGGAGUAGACCCUUAAAAAACAGUUGUGAUUCUUAUGCUCCUUGCGUACCUUUUGUGUGCUUUUCCUGGCUUCGGACCCCGGAUGAGUCUCUUACUCUGCAUAUUCAGGCCCAGGUACUGAGGACAAAAAUUUCAUCUACUCUUUCAAAGACUGGGUCUCCAUAUUGUUAAAGUCUUUGGAUUUUGGCCUGUGAAAGAUCUUACAUGAUAAUAAGCCACUGCUGAUUCCUUCUCCUCCCGCUUGUAUUUAUUUCUGUUUGCUCCUUUCUCUUUUGCAGAUGGCAGAUAAAUCUUGUCAGUGCUUUCUGGGCUUUGCAGCCUUUUCUCAAUCAUCUUUCCUUCAGUAUCUCCAGCAAUGUGCAAAUCUGAUGGUUUGCUAUUUUUGCUAAGUAUAUUUCUGUUCUAGGCUAAUUCUUGUGCUCUUUUGCUGGGUGAGAUGUCUAGUACUCAAAAUUUCUAGUACUCAAAAAAUAAACUAACCGCAGCUCAUGAAAAAAAAAAAAGGAAAAGAAAAAAAACAACAAACUUUUUCAUCUCUGCUGUAAGAGUUUGAUGUGAGUUCCUUGCUGAGUUUGAAGGAAUGACAGAUAGGUCCCCGAGAAGCCUCUGGUGCUGUGUCUGCUGGAUCAACGGGAAUCGUAUCGCAGGAUGUCACAUUUAGCACUGGAUUGUGAAAUGCUCGAAAACUGGAAUCAUAGGAGCAUUAUUUAAUGCUAAGUGUUAUCCACAUCAUAUCUGAAGCUUGAACAUGCCAGGAAAACAUCCUUCACAUUCUGCAACUAAUCUAUGUGGGCUUUCAGGAUCAAUCGUGAAUUGGCUGGGGCUGCCCUGCCGCAGAAAUGGGUCAGACAAGUUACAGGAACUGUGGAUUGGUUGGAUGGGGAUCCACCUAGCAACACCACCACACUAAUGCCGGAUUGGGAAAUUUGCCCUACAGGAGUUUGUCUUGAUUAAAGGCUUCAGUCUGUCUUUGCAACACAAACAUAGGAGCCCCCAUGCUGCUCUCUGAAAUUUACAGCGUAUUUUCUUUUAACUCAAGCAUAUUGAAGCAGAACAGAAGAAAGGAUCAAAGGUACCGUAAUGUUUCUAUAAACAAGUACUACUUAGUUUGUUUUUUUUUAUCUUGGGUUUAUUUUUU